GACGAACGCUGGCGGCGUGCCUAACACAUGCAAGUCGAGCGAAGCUUUUAAAGUGGAUCCCUUCGGGGUGAAACCUUAACUGUUUUAGCGGCGGACGGGUGAGUAACACGUGGGCAACCUGCCCUACAGAUGGGGAUAACUCCGGGAAACCGGGGCUAAUACCGCAUAACGUCGCAAGACCAAAGAGGGGGACCUUCGGGCCUCUUGCCAUCGGAUGUGCCCAGAUGGGAUUAGCUAGUAGGUGGGGUAACGGCUCACCUAGGCGACGAUCCCUAGCUGGUCUGAGAGGAUGACCAGCCACACUGGAACUGAGACACGGUCCAG
rnacentral:rRNA from 1 species